rnacentral:rRNA from 1 species
GCCUACAUGAAGCUGGAAUUGCUAGUAAUCACAGGUCAGCAUACUGUGGUGAAUACGUUCCCGGGCCUUGUACAUACCGCCCGUCACACCAUGAGAGUUGGGAAUACCCGAAGCCUGUGAGCUAACUUUUAGAGGCAGCAGUCGAAGGUAGAAUCAAUGAUUGGGGUGAAGUCGUAACAAGGUAGC